AACGAACGCUGGCGGCGUGGAUAAGACAUGCAAGUCGAACGGGACAUUUUUAGUAGUAAUAUUAGAGAUGUUCAGUGGCGAACGGGUGCGUAACACGUGGAUACAUUCCGGAAAGCGGGGGAUAGCCCAGGGAAACUUGGAUUAAUACCGCAUGUGGUCGCAAGACUAAAGACGGGGAUCGAAAGACCUGUCACUUUCCGAUUGGUCCGCGGCCUAUCAGCUAGUUGGCGGGGUAAAAGCCCACCAAGGCGACGACAGGUAGCUGGUCUUAGAGGACGACCAGCCACACUGGAACUGAGACACGGUCCAGACACCUACGGGUGGCAGCAGUCGAGAAUCUUUCACAAUGGGGGCAACCCUGAUGGAGCGACGCCGCGUGGAGGAUAAGGUCUUCGGAUUGUAAACUCCUGUCAUGCGAGAACAAGGUUGCAGGGCUAAUACCCGUGCAAAUUGAUGGUACCGCAAGAGGAAGAGACGGCUAACUCUGUGCCAGCCGCCGCGUAAAAC
rnacentral:rRNA from 1 species